CUUCAGUGGUAGAGCAGCCGACUUGUAAUCGGCAGGGCGUUGGUUCAAAUCCAACCUGC
rnacentral:tRNA from 1 species